rnacentral:rRNA from 1 species
GGCCCCCCGACCCUAUGGGGGGUCGGGCCUGCCCGGUGGUUUACUUAACGGCUGCCGUAAUUGGUACAAAGGUAGCAAAAUCUCUUGCCCUUUAAUUGGGGGCGUGUGAACGGUCUGACGGGGGGGCGCUGUCUUGGGGUGGGGUAACGAAAUUUACCUUUAGGUGAAAAGGCCUAAAUUUCAAGGCUGGACGAGAAGACCCCGCGAACUUUACCGAAAGGUUUGGUUGGGGCAACCCUGCGCAUGCAUGAUGACAUAGAUCCACACAGCGUGAAUCUGGAAAAAGUUACCGCGGGGAUAACAGCGCAAUUCGCCUUGAUAGCUCGCAUUGACGGGUGAGUUUGCGACCUCGAUGUUGAAUUAGGGUAUCCUAAGGGCGUAGAGGCUCUUAUGGUUGGUCUGUUCGACCAAUAAAAUCCUACA